rnacentral:rRNA from 1 species
UACGGAGGGUGCAAGCGUUAUCCGGAUUCACUGGGUUUAAAGGGUGCGUAGGCGGGUGGAUAAGUCAGUGGUGAAAGCUCGUAGCUUAACUAUGAAACCGCCAUUGAAACUGUCCAUCUUGAGUACUAUUGCAGUGGUUGGAAUACAUCAUGUAGCGGUGAAAUGCAUAGAUAUGAUGUAGAACACCGAUUGCGAAGGCAUAUCACUAAAUAGUAACUGACGCUGAGGCACGAAAGCGUGGGUAUCGAACAGG